GAUGAACGCUGGCUACAGGCUUAACACAUGCAAGUCGAGGGGAAACGACGGGGAAGCUUGCUUCCCCGGGCGUCGACCGGCGCACGGGUGAGUAACGCGUAUCCAACCUGCCUCUGACUGAGGGAUAACCCGUCGAAAGUCGGCCUAAUACCUCAUGGCAUCGUCUGCGGGCAUCCAACGACGAUUAAAGAUUUCAUCGGUCAGGGAUGGGGAUGCGUCUGAUUAGCUAGUUGGCGGGGUAACUGCCCACCAAGGCGACGAUCAGUAGGGGUUCUGAGAGGAAGGUCCCCCACAUUGGAACUGAGACACGGUCCAAACUCCUACGGGAGGCAGCAGUGAGGAAUAUUGGUCAAUGGGCGAGAGCCUGAACCAGCCAAGUAGCGUGCAGGAUGACGGCCCUAUGGGUUGUAAACUGCUUUUAUGCGGGGAUAAAGUGAGGGACGUGUCCUUCAUUGCAGGUACCGCAUGAAUAAGGACCGGCUAAUUCCGUG
rnacentral:rRNA from 1 species